rnacentral:misc_RNA from 1 species
GAAAUGCGAUAAGUAAUGUGAAUUGCAGAAUUCAGUGAAUCAUCGAAUCUUUGAACGCACCUUGCGCUCCUUGGUAUUCCUUGGAGCAUGCCUGUUUGAGUAUCAUGAAAUCUUCAAAGUAAAUCUUUUGUUAACUCAAUUGGUUUCUACUUUGGUAUUGGAGGUCUUUGCAGCUUCACACCUGCUCCUCUUUGUUCAUUAGCUGGAUCUCAGUGUUAUGCUUGGUUCCACUCGGCGUGAUAAGUUAUCUAUCGCUGAGGACACUGUAAAAGGUGGCCAAGGUAAAUGCAGAUGAACCGCUUCUAAUAGUCCAUUGACUUGGGCAAUACUUUUAUGAUCUGAUCUCAAAUCAGGUAGGACUACCCACUGAACUUAAGC